UGGGUCCUACGGGGCGCAGCAGUGGGGGAUAUUGCACAAUGGGGGAAACCCUGAUGCAGCGACGCCGCGUGAGUGAAGAAGUAUUUCGGUACGUAAAGCUCCAUCAGCAGGGAAGAAUAAUGACGGUACCUGACUAAGAAGCCCCGGCUAACUACGUGCCAGCAGCCGCGGUAAUACGUAGGGGGCAAGCGUUAUCCGGAUUUACGGGGUGUAAAGGGAGCGUAGACGGCUGUGCAAGUCUGAAGUGAAAUGCCGGGGCUCAACCCCGGAACUGCGUUGGAACCUGUA
rnacentral:rRNA from 1 species